UGUGGAACUGACUUCUUGGCCCACAGGAAACCUCGAAGAAGUGGUGGUUGUGACAGUGAUAACCACACCUAGGGGCAGCGGGCCGUACUCCCUGCUGUGCAGUGCUCCCCAAGGAGCUUGGCUCUUCCUCAGCAGGGCAGGGAGCACCAGCUCAGAGCUGUGCAGACUCAUCUGUGGAGGGAGGCAACCAGAAUGAUGUCCCAGGAGAAGACGUCCCAGCUGCAAAGGGCCCCAGAGAGGAAGCUGGUGGCUUCAGCACAAUGAGUGUCCGCUGAGAGUUCCCACUGGGCUCUUCGCCUCUGUAUAACUCUGGGCCUCCUGCUUCUGGCCCUAUGUGAGUAUGGCUCCGUUGCCUUUCUGCCCUGCUUGUUUGCUGACACCCUGCAGUGGGUGUCAGAGUGCUAUGGUUUCCAUUAUUUGAAGCUACUCAAAACCUUCUCUCUGGCUUUUGGGGAGAUACAGUUCCACAACUCACGGCCAUCAGAUGUGGACGCCUGGAACCUACCAAGGCUACUGACUCUGAAGAUAGCUUGUCCGUAUUUGUGGGAAUUAUCGCUGAAUGAUCACACGUCUCCAGAGUGCACGCUUGGUUCAUCUUAGCUUCUAUGUCAUCACUCAUGAUUCAAGUAGAUGCUAGUUUAUUCUGGUAGAGCAUACGAAUUAAGGAAAGAUCACUGCUUUUGGGUGAUCUUGACUCCGAUUCUUUACACUCUACUAUAAACACAGCUCCCUGGCUUGCCAGUGCGUGUGUCACAGGUGACUGCAGUUCCCCACCAAUUAUACACAGGAGCCUCUGCUCUUGGACAGUCACAGCACUUCCCAGAGCAGAAACAGGCCGCUCUCCUCUCAGGCUGCUUCUCUUGCGUGGCAAAAGUCAGGCCGUGCAAAGCAUCAUGACCAGCCCUAGCCAAGGACGGCCUGAGGUAGGGCUCGGAUGUUGGGGUCCAAACAAAUCAUUAC